rnacentral:rRNA from 1 species
GCGGUUAUACGAGAGGCCCAAGUUGAUAGAUCCCGGCGUAAAGAGUGGUUAAGAUAAAUGAAUAAUUAAAGCCGAACGCCCUCAGAGCAGUUAUACGCAUCCGAAGGUAAGAAGCCCCAUAGCGAAAGUAGCUUUAUUAAUCCUGACUCCACGAAAGCUAAGGAA